rnacentral:rRNA from 1 species
GACGAACCGUCCAAACGUUGUUCGGAAUCACUGGGCUUAAAGGGCGCGUAGGCGGGUCUCCAAGUCGGUGGUGAAAUCUUUCGGCUCAACCGGAAAACAGCCGCCGAUACUGGGGGUCUCGAGGGAGGUAGGGGUCGAUGGAACUUCCGGUGGAGCGGUGAAAUGCGUAGAUAUCGGAAGGAACGCCGGUGGCGAAAGCGAUCGACUGGAUCUCAACUGACGCUGAGGCACGAAAGCCAGGGGAGCGAACGGG